GGUCAAGAUUUCGAUUUGUCGGAUGCCCUUGGCGACAAUGACAAGAAGCCCACGGCGCCCCCCAAGAAACCCAGCCCUGACGAUGACGGGUUCAGUCUGGAGGACGCCCUCGGCGGCGGAGGAAACAAUGACCCAGUGCCGCCUAAUCCACCCAAACCGAAGCCUAAUCCCAACCCCAACCAGCCUGGAUCUUCUGGUGGCUUUUCAGAUUCCGAUCUCGUCGAUGGAGCUUCAGAUGGAGGUAAAGUUACUACUUCUUCUCUUUUCUCCCUAUCACCCGCCUGCUGAACACAAUGACAUUAGGGUCUACACCCUUAGCCGUCAGCAAAGUUACAGUCAGCUGCUUGGAAUUCGCUUGGGAUCUCCAGCAUUUGUAAACGCAUCAAGGGUGGGGACCGUAAGACCUGCCCCAGAGAGGCUGGUCCCUAGGAGCUGUGUUAAUGGUUCAGUUACCCACCAUGUCCAUGGGGCUGGAGGUCAGCUGAUCGGGCACUUCUCAGACAUCUGA
rnacentral:lncRNA from 12 species